AAGUCGUAACAAGGUUUCCGUAGGUGAACCUGCGGAAGGAUCAUUAUUGAAUCCUUAGGAUGUUGCUGGCCUUUCGGGGCAUGUGCACUCCGCCUUUCAAUACACCUGUGAACUUAUUGUAGGUGCAGAUUGUAACAGAUCUGUUGCCUAUGUUUUUAACACACUCAAAAUGUAUAUUGAAUGUCUAAAUAUGGCCUUUGAUGGUCAACAAACUUAAUACAACUUUCAACAAUGGAUCUCUUGGUUCUCGCAUCGAUGAAGAACGCAGCGAAUUGCGAUAUGUAAUGUGAAUUGCAGAAUUCAGUGAAUCAUCGAAUCUUUGAACGCACCUUGCACCCUUUGGUAUUCCGAAGGGUAUGCCUGUUUGAGUGUCAUUAAAUUCUCAACUUCAAAGGGAUUUUGUCUUUUUUGAAGCUUGGACUAUGGAAGUUUGCUGGUAUCAUUAUCAGCUCUUCUNNNNGCAUUAGCGGAACUUUGAAGGANCAGCUUUGGNUUGAUAAUCCUAUCUAUGNCGCUGCUGNGGACUUGUGUGUUCAGCUUCUAAUGGUCUUCGGACUGUCUCCAUUGUGAGGCAUACACUUUUAAGCUUGACCUCAAAUCAGGUAGGACUACCCGCUGAACUUAAGCAUAUCAAUAAGCGGAGGAAAAGNAACUAACAAGGAUUCCCCUAGUAACUGCGAGUGAGANGGAAAAGCUCAAAUUUAAAAUCUGGCCGUUCUNGCAGCGNUCCGAGUUGUAGUUUAGAGAAGUGUUAUCCGCNNCGGCCUGUGCAAAAGUUUCUUGGAAAAGAACAUCAUAGAGGGUGACAAUCCCGUCUUUGGCAUGGACUACCGGGGCUUUUGUGAUGCGCUCUCGACGAGUCGUGUUGUUUGGGAAUGCAGCACUAAAUGGGUGGUAAAUUCCAUCUAAAGCUAAAUAUUGGCGAGAGACCGAUAGCGAACAAGUACCGUGAGGGAAAGAUGAAAAGAACUUUGAAAAGAGAGUUAAACAGUACGUGAAAUUGUUGAAAGGGAAACGCUUGAAGUCAGUCGUGUCCUCCAGGGAUCAAGUUGCCUCCGGGUGACCGUACUUUCUGGUGGAUGGGUCAGCAUCAAUUUUGACCGUUGGAUAAAGGCCUAGGGAAUGUGGCAUCCUCGGAUGUGUUAUAGACCUGGGUUGGAUACAAUGGUUGGGAUUGAGGAACUCAGUGUGCCUUUAUGGUUGGGGCUUGCUCACACCACACACUUAGGAUGCUGGCGUAAUGGCUUUAAUCGACC
rnacentral:rRNA from 1 species